rnacentral:rRNA from 1 species
UGGGGAAUUUUCCGCAAUGGGCGAAAGCCUGACGGAGCAAUACCGCGUGAGGGAGGAAGGCUCUUGGGUUGUAAACCUCUUUUCUCAAGGAAGAACAAAAUGACGGUACUUGAGGAAUCAGCAUCGGCUAACUCCGUGCCAGCAGCCGCGGUAAUACGGAGGAUGCAAGCGUUAUCCGGAAUGAUUGGGCGUAAAGCGUUCGCAGGUGGCAAUUCAAGUCUGCUGUCAAAAGUCGCGGCUCAACCGCGAAUCGGCAGUGGAAACUGAAUAGCUAGAGUGCGGUAGGGGCAGAGGGAAUUCCCGGUGUAGCGGUGAAAUGCGUAGAGAUCGGGAAGAACACCAGUGGCGAAAGCGCUCUGCUAGGCCUGCACUGACACUCAGGGACGAAAGCUAGGGGAGC